rnacentral:ncRNA from 1 species
UUAAUUGCGUUGAUAGGGAAGGACUGCGGGUUCCCUCCGCAUUCAGAGAGCUGCCGGGUGGUGCGAGGCGGCGCGGAGUCUGCACGAAAUCGCCCUUGAGCAGGAGGCUGAAAGGUUUGCCGAGUAAGCCGUCCCGGAACUCCCCGUUACAGGAGGGCGCAUUGUUGGAUGCGUGACGAGAUGCCGCCGUUUUGGCGGCGGAUAAGAGUGGUACCGCGGAGCUUUCAGCUUUCGCCUCUUUG